rnacentral:lncRNA from 1 species
UCCAAAGAUGUAAAGGAAGACCACAGAAGAAUACCCAUAGAGGAACAUACUGUAUGUUUUCUAACUCUAAGUGAACAUUAGGGAACCAAUGAUACCAGGGAGGGUAAAAAUACAGAAUGGAUUUCCAAAUAACACCGAUGGAAAAUUUGUUCAGAUAGAAAAUGUCACAGUAGACAAGGAAGAACUGAUACCAGAAGCACUAACGAAGCAGCGUAGAUAAAAAUGAAAAGUAGCUCACCACCAAGUUUAAAAUCGCAAUGGGAUACAAAAAGUUCACCACCCAACGGAAAUUAAACGAGGAUACAGAACUAGAAAAUAAAAGACUCACCACUCAAGGACGCAUCCAAGAGAUACAAAGUUUAAGGGGUUCUCCAAGAGCUUCUGCCCAGAUAUUAUCAGUUUCUAAAGUCCUUUCUAAGUCCUAAACACCAAAAUAAAUACUAGAGCAUGAAACAACCCUUCAUGCAUAGGAAAUUUCGAAAUUAAGUGUUUACAGCUACCAACCAACUAUUUUAAUGCACUCAUUGGUAAUGAAGAAAUGUUCACAGCUGCCAACCAACUCCUUUAA